rnacentral:rRNA from 1 species
GUGCCAGCAGCCGCGGUAAUACGGAGGGUGCAAGCGUUGUUCGGAAUUACUGGGCGUAAAGAGCGUGUAGGCGGUUAAGCAAGUCAGAUGUGAAAGCCUUCCGCUUAACGGGAGAAUGGCAUUUGAAACUACUUGGCUGGAGUUCGGGAGAGGAGAGUGGAAUUCCCGGUGUAGAGGUGAAAUUCGUAGAUAUCGGGAGGAACACCGGUGGCGAAGGCGGCUCUCUGGCCCGGUACUGACGCUGAGACGCGAAAGCGUGGGGAGCAAACAGGAUUAGAAACCCGCGUAGUCC